GACAGAGGUGCCGAGCGUUAGGCGGAAUCACUGGGCUUAAAGCGUGUGUAGGCGGGCCCGUAAGUACCUUGUGAAAUCCCACGGCUCAACCGUGGAACUGCUCGGUAUACUGCGGGUCUUGAGCCAGCUAGGGGCGACCGGAACAAGUGGUGGAGCGGUGAAAUGCGUAGAUAUCACUUGAAACGCCGAAGGUGAAAACAGGUCGCUGGGGCUGCGCUGACGCUGAGACACGAAAGCCAGGGGAGCGAACGGG
rnacentral:rRNA from 1 species